rnacentral:rRNA from 1 species
CGGGAAGAGCUCAAAUUUGAAAUCUGGCGUCCUCAGGGCGUCCGAGUUGUAAUCUAUAGAGGCGUUUUCCGUGCCGGACCGUGUCCAAGUUCCUUGGAACAGGAUAUCAAAGAGGGUGACAAUCCCGUACUUGACACGACGACCGGUGCUCUGUGAUACGUCUUCUACGAGUCGAGUUGUUUGGGAAUGCAGCUCAAAAUGGGUGGUGAGUUCCAUCUAAAGCUAAAUAUUGGCGAGAGACCGAUAGCGAACAAGUACCGUGAGGGAAAGAUGAAAAGCACUUUGGAAAGAGAGUUAAACAGUACGUGAAAUUGUUGAAAGGGAAACGAUUGAAGUCAGUCGUGACCGAGAGGCUCAGCCGGUUCUGCCGGUGUAUUCCCCUCGGUCGGGUCAACAUCAGUUUUGUCCGGUGGAUAAGGGCGGUAGGAAGGUGGCACCCUCGGGUGUGUUAUAGCCUGCCGUCGCAUACAUCGGGUGAGACUGAGGAACGCAGCUCGCCUUUAUGGCCGGGGUUCGCCCACGUCCGAGCUUAGGAUGUUGACAUAAUGGCUUUAAACGACCCGUCUUGAAACACGGAC